rnacentral:rRNA from 1 species
CACCUCUAGCAUUACCAGUAUUAGAGGCACUGCCUGCCCAGUGACAUUAGUUAAACGGCCGCGGUAUCCUGACCGUGCAAAGGUAGCAUAAUCAUUUGUUCCUUAAUUAGGGACUUGUAUGAAUGGCCCCACGAGGGUUUAACUGUCUCUUACUUUUGAUCAGUGAAAUUGACCUUCCCGUGAAGAGGCGGGAAUACAAGAAUAAGACGAGAAGACCCUAUGGAGCUUAAAUUAAUAUGUUCAACAGAAUUUAAUUAUAGCCCAAUAGGAAUAAAAAUAUUCUAACUGAACAAUAAAUUUUGGUUGGGGUGACCUCGGAGUAUAACAUAACCUCCGAGCAAUUAAACCAAGACUUACCAGUCAAGGCUAUAUAACUUAUUGAUCCAAUCUUAUUGAUCAACGAAACAAGUUACCCUAGGGAUAACAGCGCAAUCCUAUUUAAGAGUUCAUAUCGACAAUAGGGUUUACGACCUCGAUGUUGGAUCAGGACACCCAAAUGGUGCAGCAGCUAUUAAAGGUUCGUUUGUUCAACG